UACUGAAACCUCAAAGAAAAGAAUAUUCUUAGAAGUUCUUGCAGGCCAGUGAGUACUACUUCUAAACUGACAUAGCAGGAUAGAUGCAACUUCUUUAUUAGAGCCUGUUUUUCCACUGGAGGAGGAGGAUGUUUCUGCUCUCUGGGGAAGUGUGGAAGCUCAGCGAGGAUAACCCCGUGACUGCAGAUGAAUACCCGUAUUGAUAGAUCUAGCAACUGAUAACUGAAGAAAUAUGCUUCAAAUUUGAAAUAUGCUUUGCAGAUGAAGUUCAGCUGUCCCAAAGUUGCAUGAAUGAGCAUCCUUUCUGCUUGCAGAAAUCUUGUCAAGGUGAGUGUUGGUAUUGCUAGGGUGGAGAUACAAGCCACACAAGGCAAAAAAAAAAAAAAAAAACACACACAAAAAAACAACCCAAAAAGCAACAACAACAACAAAAGGGAUGAAGCUGGAGAAGGAAGGUGAGCUUGUCAAAGCCUGUAGAGAAGAAGUGAGGAUAAUUAAUCAGACAAAUGGAGAGAGAGCAGGUGUGCAGAGGGAAUAGUCUGGUGGGAGCAAAAAGCAGUGGAAUGAAAAUGAAUGUCAGAAGAGCUCAUCUUCCUCCUGACCAAGCUGACUGGGAAAUGCUAACUGUAAUGAUGUGAAAAUGAUACAGCUGAUGGAUCUCUAGUAAUAACAGCCUGAAAUAUUACCCAAGUCUACUCAGAGAGUAAGAGCAAGAAGAAACACAAAGGUACAUGGAUUGGGCCCUCUUGGGUUGGGGUACGUACAGUACCAUGAGGUACAGCCCUCCAACCGGACUCGGUGCCGCUGAUCACAGCCCUCUGAGCUUGGACAGUCGGCCAGUUCUCCAUCUGCCUCACUGACCAUUCAUCAAUCCCACGUCCUAAGCUUCUUUAGAAGGAUGUUGUGAGAGACAGUGUCAUAAGCCUUGCUGAGGUCAAGGUACACAGCAUCCAUUGCUCUUCCCCUUGUCUACCCAGAUGGUGAUGACAUUGCAGAAGGCUGCCAGUUUGGCUGAGCAUGGUUUCCCCUUGGUGAAUACAUGUUGACUACUCCUGAUAACCUUCUUCUCUUCUGUUUGCUUGGAUAUGGCAUCCAAAAUAAGCUGGUCCAUCAUUUUACAUUGACCUUUAUAUGCCAUGGUAUCAGAUAUGCUUCCAUCCAAAGGAUUUCAUCAGUUCCCCAUAAUGUGAAAGUAGAAGAACAUCUUUCCUGUAUUAAAAAUAUUAGGAAUUUAAUCCAUCAGAAUUUACUCCUUGUGAAAGAAACAACUUCUUCCAUUUGCAUCAUCCCUACUUGAGAUUUUUAAGCAUCCUUAAACAGCCAUUCUUUGUAUCAGAUGACAAUCUGAACUCCGCACCCAACCUUGGCAUCUGCGGUCAUGACAUCAACAAGGUCAAAGGGUGAUGGCCAGAUACAAAGCAGUCUGCGGGUCCUUCACACGUGGGUUAACCAACAUGGCUCGCUCGAGCUUUCUUCAGAGGCGUGGAAUCAGGACUCCGUGCCCUUGCCAGAAGGAAGGGAAGUGGAGCAGAGGUGCAGUCCGAGGGAGAGGACUUGCGAGCCCCGAAGGCAGCAGGGCCGUGCCGGGCCGCGAGUGCCUCCCGCCCGCGACAGCACCAUGGAGAGCGCCCGGGGAGCCGCGCCGCACCGCACAGUACCGGACCGUACAGCAAAAUGGCCGCUGCUCCGCGUCUCGCCGUGCAAGUGGGCUCACGCGGGCUGGGGCCAGCGAGCUGGUAGGAACGUGUUCCUGCCCGCACCUUCCAGCCAGCUCGGAGGGAAAUCGAUCUGCUCUCUUUCCACAAGUCAGCAGUGUGUGUAAAGGGUAUGCAGCAAGCCACUAAGUCUGCAGUUGCUAUUCUCUACGAACCAAGGUUUGGUUGUCCCCAAACAAAGCAACACCAUUAGAGCACUUAAAUAAAUACAUGCACAAAUAAAUCUGGCUCUGCGUUCAUCCGUAGAUACUUGGCUAGGUUAAAGUCAGCCUCUGAGACAGCAACCCUGAUGCACUUCCAAGAGUGAUGAAACUGCUGCUCGGGUGGUUUCACUCAAUUUCUCAUAAUCAAAUAUAUCUUUCAAGGCAAUAAAUAAGUAUAAGAAAUAUCUAACCUCAGAAAUGAAAGUCCAACAAACAAAAAGACCAAAAAGAAAAAAAAAAAAAAGCCACGCUCAGAAGAAGAGUUUGCAAAUAUUUCUGAACUCUCAUUUCAAAAAUGACAGGAGCUAAUUGUUGCUUUGGUCGUGCUGCUUGUAUCCUGAACGUUAAAAGGAAUUAAUAGGAAAAGGUAUCAAUUUGUCACAACAGUGCUAAUUAAUGUUUUACAUUUUUUUUCUCUCUUUUAAUAGAUAAUUUGCUGUAAUGAGUAUAUCAGGGCUAAGUGAGAAUGGGGCUGCAAUAGUGUUUUUCUCAAAUUUCUGAAGUUAUUUAACCUACUCUCAGUAUUAACCUACUGCAGGGACCCUGCUUUAGCUGGGGAGUUGGACUCAAACUCCGACCGCUACCAUUUUGUGGUUCUGUGAUUCAUGAUGCAUGAAGAUUCAAAUGAAAAAUGUCCCUUUUUAUAAAUUGAAGAACAAGGUAUUCUGUUUCUUUAGUAUCAGGAAAAUGUUUAUUCAGCACGAGCUGUGGUGUAUUAUAAAUAAAGGUCCAGCUGACUUAAAAAUUACCACCUGCACUGAAUUUUUCAUAAUUAUACUUGAUGUAUGCUAUUGGUAUUGAAACAUUCGUCAAUCCGUUCUCUACUUCUGUGCUUAAAACAAUAUAAAAUAUUUGUCUGACUUAAUUCAGACACCUUCAAGGCAAGCAACGUAGAAACUUACAAACUGUUUCAUAUUGGCAUAAAAACAUCGAUCUGUCUUUGUUCUUAUGCAAGUCCUGCUCUU
ensembl:lncRNA